GCGGGAGUCCGAUAGCGGUCAAUUCGGCUAGGUUUAGGCCCUAGUGACUUAGUGUCUUCGCAGGUUCGAAUCCUGCCCCCCGCA
rnacentral:tRNA from 1 species